rnacentral:lncRNA from 1 species
UAUUUAAACUAAGCAUGCAUAAACCCCCACCCAAUUUCACUAUAACCUCAAUCAUUCGUUUACAAAUUAUUACAAACUAAGUAUAACCGAGUUACAGUAAUGAAGAAUAAUAAUAAGAAGUUAUUCUAUAUGGAGACUUCAGUUAGACCCGAUCUUCCAACCUCACUCUUUUCGAGUUUUAUAGUCUUUGCCAUGGUCUGCUUGCGGCAAAGCUCCCUAAGGCCCUAUUGGAUCUCUGGCCAUACUAUCACCCAAAAACUAACCAAACAUGUUUAACAAGUGCUGUGUGGAAUUACCAGCCUUGUGCAUCAAAGUUGAGUGAGUACUCAGAGGUGCCCAAAGCAAUCUUACACGAAGGGGGUAAAAACUAAUCUCUAAGAGUAGUGAGAGUGCAUGACAUAGUUUUAAAUAAAUUGAGUUGAGAAAAACAGUUUGAAAAUGAUCUAUAUAGAAUCAGUUCUUGAAAGAAAAUAGUAGAGGAGUGUGACAAUCUUGUAAGAAGGUGAGUAGGACAAUCUCAGAACUAGAAUAUCAUACAUAAUUCAGGAAAGCAAACACAAACAGGCGAAAGGGGAAAUAGGACAAGUAGUUCACAUGUAAGAGCGUAGUUGCACAUAAGUAGACAUCAGAGAAGGCAUUUCAGGACUUAAACAGUCACAACACAUUUCAUCCUAAAAUGUUUAUGGAAGAGGUUCAUGAUUACUUGGUAGCUAGAAAAGGUCGUGAUUACAUGCUGAUAAUGUACUGGGUUAGGGAGUAAGGUAGAAUUGCAUUAAACAAAUAAGAGAAGCAGUAGACAUGCUGAAUUAAGGGAAGGGGAUUCACAUCAAUGGACUAGCAAAGAGGCAUGCUAAUUGCAAGUUAAACACCAGAACCAUAAAUAGAAGCAUAAAAGAAAUAAGAGAAAGUGCAAUAUGCAUAUAUAUCUGUUGGUUUGGAAGCUGUAAAUCAAAGAGAAGACAGACCAGUCAAGAGUAAGAUAAUAGAGCAGUAGUGUGCGGGGAAGUAGAGAAGUACUGUGCAGACCAAGUGAGAAGCAAUGUACCGAGCAGUACGACAGUAGAGUAACAAAUUAUUCAGUCUUGGCUUUCAGCUGACUGGGAAACCAGCAAUCAAUAAGAGAAGCGAGAGAGAAUGUGCAAGAAAGAAAGAGAGAACAGUGAGUAUGCUUGUGUGUGUAAGAGAUAGUUUAGAGAAUUGUCAUUCUUCGUGUCAUGCAAAAAAAGAGGGUAGAGUAUUUGUAGUUCUGAAAACAAGUAAAGACUAGGGUAAACAAGUACUGACUUAACACAAAUAUGGAAACAAUACCAAUUGGAAUCAAUCAAAGGACCAACCAUAUUUUAAAUAGGGAGUCAUGAUUCGAAUGGGUACAAGUUAUAUCAUAUAAGGAUAGAAUCACUUAGACUACUAAAUCUACCAUAGUAGGAGUAGUAAAGCAUGUAACAUGUAAUAAGGGCCAAAUACAUAAAAUUUCAAAUACGGAAAAUAUAUAUUGAAUAUUUGAAAGUAUGUUUAGGUGCAUAAAUAUGGCAAAAAUAUAAAUUACCUCUGAAAAUUAGUCAAAGAAUCACGGAUGAGACUAAAAUCACAAGGAAUUAGUUCUAAGUAAGGAAAGCAUCUCACAAAUUAGGAAGUGAUUCAAAAUCAAGGAAAAACUUCUAAGGAAAACAUAUACAAAAUCAGGGAUUCGAAGAGAUGCAACAAAUCAGCAGAAUAUUUGGUAAACAAUGAAUAAUUAGACCUAUUAAACACAAUAGCCACGAAAAUCAGAGAACCCUAAGCAAGAAAUCACAGAAACAGUGGAAGGUUGGGACCCUAACAACAAGAUUAAAGCAUAGAACUUGGAGAAUAACCCAUAAGAUCAUACAAACAAGCAAAUAAUACAAACACAAACAUAUAGUACUCAAAAAUCAGAAAAUAAAGUGAUUUCGAAAAGGGGUUCAGAACCCCUUUUUUUUAAAAAGGAACAAAACGUUUAGAACUUGGGUAAUCAAAAAGAUCCAGUAAAGAGUAGUGUACAACAUAAAGGUGUGAGUUAAAAUCGUUAAAAAUACAGAGAUUUAAGUGGUCUGGGUAGAGAUUAGGGUUUCAUAAGAAACCAGUGAGAAGUAAGAGAAACCUGGUUGUGAAACUCAGCAGUAAUGGUGUUCAUGGAACCAUCGGACCAAAACCCAUAGAAGAAAGGCCGGAGGCAGACUAGUCAAAGCUUUCAACGACAUCUCGUAUGGUGGAGGAUCCUGGGGCCUCAGGAUUGAGGGAAUCGGCGAGAUAAGGUUUCACAGCGGCUUGGUGGUUGAAAGAGAUGAGGCUGGAGGUGGCCGGAGAGAUGGUGAAUGCCAUCAGAGAAGAACCAGAAGGUUCUUGAGUGAAGGAGAAGAGGAAGAGACCAAGUAGAGAGAGUGUCU